AAGUCGUAACAAGGUUUCCGUAGGUGAACCUGCGGAAGGAUCAUUAACACGUAUCCAACGUUAAACCCCCCGUGAACCUUCAUUGUGCUCCCCCAUUCCGUUAGGACGCGGCAAUCCCUGGUAAAUCAUCGCCGAACAGUUUUGAUUCAGGGACCUCUGCAUGGAGUGGGCAGCAGCGCGAGGCAAGUGGCCUGGCAUUCGAAAGAAUGGCGCAGUAACGAUCGCUAGAGGCCGACACGGCCGGCGACCGGGUCACUGGGCUCACGCCCCCCUAUCACCUUUGCAUGAAAACGCACCAAACUCGAACAACUGUUAACAAUGGAUAUCUUGGUUCUC
rnacentral:misc_RNA from 1 species